rnacentral:rRNA from 1 species
GUGUCUGGUGGGUAGUUUGACUGGGGCGGUCUCCUCCUAAAGAGUAACGGAGGAGCACGAAGGUUGGCUAAUCCUGGUCGGACAUCAGGAGGUUAGUGCAAUGGCAUAAGCCAGCUUGACUGCGAGCGUGACGGCGCGAGCAGGUGCGAAAGCAGGUCAUAGUGAUCCGGUGGUUCUGAAUGGAAGGGCCAUCGCUCAACGGAUAAAAGGUACUCCGGGGAUAACAGGCUGAUACCGCCCAAGAGUUCAUAUCGACGGCGGUGUUUGGCACCUCGAUGUCGGCUCAUCACAUCCUGGGGCUGAAGUAGGUCCCAAGGGUAUGGCUGUUCGCCAUUUAAAGUGGUACGCGAGCUGGGUUUAGAACGUCGUGAGACAGUUCGGUCCCUAUCUGCCGUGGGCGCUGGAGAACUGAGGGGGGCUGCUCCUAGUACGAGAGGACCGGAGUGGACGCAUCACUGGUGUUCGGGUUGUCAUGCCAAUGGCACUGCCCGGUAGCUAAAUGCGGAAGAGAUAAGUGCUGAAAGCAUCUAAGCACGAAACUUGCCCCGAGAUGAGUUCUCCCUGACUCCUUGAGAGUCCUGAAGGAACGUUGAAGACGACGACGUUGAUAGGCCGGGUGUGUAAGCGCAGCGAUGCGUUGAGCUAACCGGUACUAAUGAACCGUGAGGCUUAACCUUACAACGCCGAAG